rnacentral:ncRNA from 1 species
AUUGUAGUAUUGACCAGCAAUCAGUACGCAUAGCCGCCAUAGGCGUUCCAGGAUGUAGCCGGAGUACAGGAUGACCAACCCGUAAGCCUGGAUGUAAGACCCCACG